rnacentral:rRNA from 1 species
GAUUGAACGUUGGCGGCACGCCUUAUACAUGCAAGUCGAACGAGAAAGCACCUUCGGGUGUGAGUAAAGUGGCGGACGGGUGAGUAACGCGUAGGAAUCUACCUUUUAGUGGGGGACAACUCGGGGAAACUCGAGCUAAUACCGCAUAAGACCUUGGGAGGAAAGAGGGCCUCUAUUUAUAAGCUCUUACUAUCAGAGGAGCCUGCGUUGGAUUAGCUAGUUGGUGAGGUAAAGGCUCACCAAGGCGACGAUCCAUAGCUGGUCUGAGAGGACGAUCAGCCACACUGGAACUGAGACACGGUCCAGACUCCUACGGGAGGCAGCAGUAGGGAAUCUUGGUCAAUGGGCGCAAGCCUGAACCAGCGAUGCCGCGUGUGUGAAGAAGGCCUUAGGGUUGUAAAGCACUUUCAGUCGCGAAGAAAUAUCCGAAGCUAAUACCUUCGGGAGUUGACGUUAGCGACAGAAGAAGUACCGGCUAACUCCGUGCCAGCAGCCGCGGUAAUACGGAGGGUACGAACGUUAAUCGGAAUUACUGGGCGUAAAGCGCGCGUAGGCGGUUUGUUAAGUGGGAUGUGAAAGCCCCGGGCUCAACCUGGGAAUUGCGUUCCAAACUGACAAGCUAGAGUAUGGUAGAGGAAGGUAGAAUUCCCUGUGUAGCGGUGAAAUGCGUAGAUAUAGGGAGGAAUACCAGUGGCGAAGGCGGCCUUCUGGACCAACACUGACGCUGAGGUACGAAAGCGUGGGGAGCAAACAGGAUUAGAUACCCUGGUAGUCCACGCCGUAAACGAUGUCAACUAGCCGUUGGGCCCCUUGAGGGUUUAGUGGCGCAGCUAACGCGAUAAGUUGACCGCCUGGGGAGUACGGCCGCAAGGCUAAAACUCAAAUGAAUUGACGGGGGCCCGCACAAGCGGUGGAGCAUGUUGUUUAAUUCGAUGCAACGCGAAGAACCUUACCAUCCCUUGACAUCCUAGGAACUUGGUAGAGAUACCUUGGUGCCUUCGGGAACCUAGUGACAGGUGCUGCAUGGCUGUCGUCAGCUCGUGUUGUGAAAUGUUGGGUUAAGUCCCGUAACGAGCGCAACCCUUGUCCUUAGUUGCCAGCACGUAAUGGUGGGAACUCUAAGGAGACUGCCGGUGACAAACCGGAGGAAGGUGGACGUCAAGUCAUCUCAUCAUGGCCCUUAAGACCUGGGCUACACACGUGCUACAAUGGCCGGUACAGAGGGUUGCCAAGCCGCGAGGUGGAGCUAAUCCCAGAAAACCGAUCGUAGUCCGGAUUGGAGUCUGCAACUCGACUCCAUGAAGUCGGAAUCGCUAGUAAUCGCGAAUCAGAAUGUCGCGGUGAAUACGUUCCCGGGCC